AUUGAACGCUGGCGGAAUGCUUUACACAUGCAAGUCGAGCGGCAGCGCGGGGGCAACCCUGGCGGCGAGCGGCGAACGGGUGAGUAACAUAUCGGAACGUACCCAGUCGUGGGGGAUAACUAUCCGAAAGGAUAGCUAAUACCGCAUACGUCCUGAGGGAGAAAGCGGGGGAUCGCAAGACCUCGCGCGAUUGGAGCGGCCGAUAUCGGAUUAGCUAGUUGGUGGGGUAAAGGCUCACCAAGGCGACGAUCCGUAGCGGGUCUGAGAGGACGACCCGCCACACUGGAACUGAGACACGGUCCAGACUCCUACGGGAGGCAGCAGUGGGGAAUUUUGGACAAUGGGGGCAACCCCGAUCCAGCCAUUCCGCGUGAGUGAAGAAGGCCUC
rnacentral:rRNA from 1 species